CUGGCUGUGCCGGGUGAGAUUAAAAUAAUGCGAAUUCGACCUGUUACGAAAUUCUUCGGAAUUGGUGAAUCUGCAGUGCAGUGGUAUACAUUUUACCAUCCCUUCCAACAUGUAGUUUCGAAAUUUCCAGACUGCAUUUGACGAGCUACAUUCCUAGUACAGACCAUAAAGACGAGGCUCUCCUGGACCUCUCUUACAUCUGUUGCUGUGGAUAAGGUGGGAGUGGGGAUUGGUUUUGCCACAAGGACCUCAUCCUCCUUCUUGUGGUCUUCUCCAUGAGUCACAUUGUCCACCAGGCUACCCAGGACCUCUCCCCGAGUUUGACAGCGGGGCUUCAUCUGGAGCAUCUCCUCUGACCUCAUCUCAGGUUUGGCCUGUUUCUCUGACAGGCCACCUGCAACAUCAGCACUCAUCAGAGCCGUAGAGCCCAGAGGCUCAUGAGAAGGAACCGAUGGCUUGGGCUUGCUGGUCAGGAGCUGCUGGCCCUCCAUGGUUACCUUGAAAUGGAAGGAAAUUAUGACAUGAUUAUACCUCCACUGGAGACUGGUGAUGUUGACAUUGUGUAAUGCUCAGCUCUCUACAAACUCCCUGCUCGAUCUCAAGGAGUCUAUGACGGUUACAUAAUGCAGAGUCGUACACUCCUCUCUGAUUGGUUACUACAAGGGUGCUGCCUGACAGGGGUCGAGAUUGAUUGCUUCCUACAGCACAGUCCCUCCAACCCACCCCCUCCUUGGUGUGUACAUUGAAAUGUUCCACAAACGGUUCAAUCGGCCUUAAAGUUGAUGUUGACCGUAGAGCUAGCAGUUAUGACUGAUCUUUGAACUCUGCUGAUACAGCAUUGAAAUACUGUAUGUUGUUGUCUUCUAAAGUGAAAUCGGGGGGCCAGCCUACAUCACUCACCAUUUCACAGGAAACACUGGCUUGUUAUGGAUGCCACUUGUGUGCAUGAAAACUGUUGCCAGGUCCAGCAUUUAAAAAUGACACUGAUAAGCCUGAGACUAAAGUCAUCGUUAGUAACACAUGAUAUCUCAAUAGAAGGAC